AUCCAGUUGACGAGUCCCAAAUAGGACGAAACGAGCACCCUGGAC
rnacentral:hammerhead_ribozyme from 1 species